AUGAACGCUGGCGGCGUGCCUAAUACAUGCAAGUCGAGCGAACGGACGAGAAGCUUGCUUCUCUGAUGUUAGCGGCGGACGGGUGAGUAACACGUGGAUAACCUACCUAUAAGACUGGGAUAACUUCGGGAAACCGGAGCUAAUACCGGAUGAUAUUUUGAACCGCAUGGUUCAAAAGUGAAAGACGGUCUUGCUGUCACUUAUAGAUGGAUCCGCGCUGCAUUAGCUAGUUGGUAAGGUAGCGGCUUACCAAGGCAACGAUGCAUAGCCGACCUGAGAGGGUGAUCGGCCACACUGGAACUGAGACACGGUCCAGAGUCCUACGGGAGGCAGCAGUAGGGAAUCUUCCGCAAUGGGCGAAAGCCUGACGGAGCAACGCCGCGUGAGUGAUGAAGGUCUUCGGAUCGUAAAACUCUGUUAUUAGGGAAGAACAUAUGUGUAAGUAACUGUGCACAUCUUGACGGUACCUAAUCAGAAAGCCACGGCUAACUACGUG
rnacentral:rRNA from 1 species